CUGAGGGGGUGGGGGGGGGGAGGUCUCCAAAAUAAUUUUUCCGGAAAAAAUUUUUCGGUACUAGUCGGGCACAAUCCCGAAAAGUCGGGCAAUUUUCUUUCCGCCCCCCUAAAUUUUUCCUUCCGGUACGCCUAUGCAUUUCACUGUCACCUUUUUAAACACUAAAGCACUCGAUGCUCGUGUUUUGGAUGGUUCAUACCGCGCACUCACUGUACAGUUGUGGCCGUGUGAUAGUUUGAAGUAAUGUUUGUACAUGGUCUUUAAAGGCACAGUUCAGCCUUUUGAACGAUGGUUUUUAAGACGCAUUUCAGCCCUUUUAAUUGAAAAAACUAACUAGGAAAAUCAAUUAAGCAUAAUUCAAGAUCAGCAAACUUAAUGUUUUUAACAUUCUAAAACAUUUUUAUUGUUAAAAACAUUGAGUUUGCUGAUUUUGAAUAUGCUAA